CAAAAAGAGCAAGGAGUUCACAAGACGAGGAACGGAGCGUAUACUUAAUACGUGAGUACCGUAGUACUUGUAGAACGACGUAGCCAAUUUUUGAAGUUCAUCGAGUAUAUUCGGUAAGGGUGAAAAGGUACGGUAAGAGCGUACCGGUAAGUUGGUAACAAAUUACGCAUGGUAAACCCCACCAAGAGCAAGAUCAAAUAGGCGUUACAGAACUUAUCAAGUUCCCGGGUUAUCUCUAGCCGGCUUGUAAUGCGGGUAGAUCGCUUGAGGUAAACGGUAACGUUUAUCCUAGAUAAAUAACUGCAAUGAAUUUAUAUUCAUACAGAAUCCGGCUUAUAGACCUUAUUGUUAU
rnacentral:RNase_P_RNA from 16 species